rnacentral:rRNA from 1 species
CCUACGGGGGGCUGCAGUGAGGAAUAUUGCGCAAUGGGGGCAACCCUGACGCAGCAACGCCGCGUGAGUGAGGAAGGUUUUCGGACCGUAAAGCUCUGUCGAGUGGGAAGAAAUGUAUUGUGGCUAAUAUCCAUGAUAUUUGACGGUACCGCUAAAGGAAGCACCGGCUAACUCCGUGCCAGCAGCCGCGGUAAUACGGGGGGUGCAAGCGUUGUUCGGAAUUAUUGGGCGUAAAGAGCGUGUAGGCGGCUGAAUAAGUCAGAUGUGAAAUCCCUGGGCUUAACCCAGGAAGUGCAUUUGAAACUAUUCAGCUUGAGUAGGGGAGAGGAAAGUGGAAUUCCUGGUGUAGAGGUGAAAUUCGUAGAUAUCAGGAGGAACACCGGUGGCGAAGGCGACUUUCUGGCCCUAUACUGACGCUGAGACGCGAGAGCGUGGGUAGCAAACAGGAUUAGAUACCCCUGUAGUC